UAUGCAAUCUGCGUUGGUUUGGGUUGCGGAGUAGCGUUCUAUAGGCCAUUUCGUUCACUCAUGUUGCCAUCAGUUCUCGGUGUGUUUUUCUUCAUAGCGUUUGAGUUCCUGGGUAUAAUAUCUGACAUGCCACCUCAGACAAAGAGAUGUAAAGGUCCUCCCUAUGACAAAAGAGAUGUUUGCUGGGGAUUUUGUUUUGCACUUUUCAUGGCCAUCCUGAACCUGAACUGGUAUCACGGUAAAGCCACAUGACUUGAAAAAACAGCUUCAGAAAAAAUAGCCUUCCUCCGGUUUAAUGUUGUGCUUUGUUCCAGUCUACACGCUGUCUUAUGGAUGUGGCAUCAUUGUGUUUGCACUCAGGGGAGCAAAACGGAAAUACAGCUCUCUCUGGAAGCUGAGAGAGGGAAAGAAGUCCUGGUAAAAGGAGUUUACUACCACAGACAGUGAAGAAACAAUCAGCGAUUCUGUGGUUAUUAAAAGAUCAAAGAGCAGAGCUGUGUUUAAAUAAACAAUCCUAUGGAAUCAAGGAUGUUAAAUUCUAACAGGAAGCCAUACAUUUUUUAUUGAAGAAUGGCUGUUUAAGAAUACUUUUUUGUUUGGUAUUUUGUUGUCAAUAAGAGAAUGCACAAAUCAUAGAUGUAAUGUCAAGAUUGUGACGAGCAAUGCAGACCUGCACUCCGCACUUAUAUGAAAACUGUU